rnacentral:rRNA from 1 species
UACAGGGGGGGGCAAGCGUUGUUCGGAAUUACUGGGCGUAAAGGGUCUGUAGGUGGCUUGCUAAGUCAGACGUGAAAUCCCUCAGCUUAACUGGGGAACUGCGUCUGAUACUGGCGAGCUUGAGUGCAGGAGAGGAACGCGGAAUUCCAGGUGUAGCGGUGAAAUGCGCAGAUAUCAGGAGGAACACCGGUGGCGAAGGCGGGUCUCUGGGCAACAACUGACGCUGAGGAGCGAAAGCGUGGGGAGCGAACAGG